UACGUAGGGUGCGAGCGUUUAAUCGGAAUUACUGGGCGUAAAGGGUGAGUAGGCGGAUGUACAAGUUAGAUGUGAAAUACCUGGGCUUAACCUGGGAGGUGCAUUUAAGACUGUAUGUCUAGAGUCUGUUAGAGGGGGGGUAGAAUUCCAAGUGUAGCAGUGAAAUGCGUAGAGAUUUGGAGGAAUACCGAAGGCGAAGGCAGCCCCCUGGGAUAAGACUGACGCUGAGUCACGAAAGCGUGGGUAGCAAACAGG
rnacentral:rRNA from 1 species